rnacentral:rRNA from 1 species
AUUGAACGCUGGCGGCAGGCCUAACACAUGCAAGUCGAACGAGUGGCGGACGGGUGAGUAAUGUAUGGGAAACUGCCCGAUGGAGGGGGAUAACUACUGGAAACGGUAGCUAAUACCGCAUACCAUCGGAUGUGCCCAGAUGGGAUUAGCUAGUAGGUGGGGUAAGGGCUCACCAAGGCGACGUUCCAUCGCUGGUCUGAGAGGAUGACCAGCCACACGGGAACUGAGACACGGACCAGACUCCUACGGGAGGCAGCAGUGGGGAAUAUUGCACAAUGGGCGCAAUCCUGAUGCAGCCAUGCCGCGUGUAUGAAGAAGGCCUUCGGGUUGUAAAGUACUUUCAGCAGGGAGGCGUUACUCGCAGAAGAAGCACCGGCUAACUCCGUGCCAGCAGCCGCGGUAAUUC